GUUGGACUCGAUGAUCUCUAAGGUCCCUUCCAACCCGCACCAGACUGUGAUACUGUGAUACUAUGAUACCCGGAGCGGCGGUGGGGUCCGCAGUGUGGAGCACCGGGAGCUGUGCUCCUAGUGAGGAACCGAGUCGCCUCGCGGGAUGGCGGGAGGUUGCUGAGGCCUUUAUGGCAUCUCCCUCCCCGCUCCCGGCGCUGCUCCGCCUCCCGGUGCCGAUUAACGCAGCCAGACGCAUUGGUCAUCGCUUUGAAGGGGCAGCCGAGCGGCGCCGCGGGCUGAGCCGGGUGUCUGUGGGGUGCAGCGUUGGACGAGGAGGGCAGGCGGCAUCGGCACUGCAGCCAAACAUAGGUGGUAGUGAGCUCACCUUAGUAUAACGCUGCUUCCAGACCUAGGGGAGCAUAAACUGUUUGACUCCUCUCGAGUGUUCCUGUCAUAGAAUACCACUGACCUCUAUGGAGCAACCAGGCUCUUCUUUGGAAUCCUUUCAUCCAGGUAUCGAAUAGAAACUGAAUUUCUUCCAGUGUUAGUUUGCAUAAAGAGGCCAAUGGAAAGGUGGGAGACAGAAGGAAGAAAACCAACCAAACAAGUCACCACUCCUUUACUUCACAAGAUCCUAAUAUUAAAUGAUGACAGAGGAAUUAACCUAGGGCCUUACCUGGACAGUGCUGGAAACAUGUGCUGGCUUAAUGCACAGCUGUAAUUAACAAACCAAGCAAGAUGCCAGGAUGCAAUAAAGAGGGAUGAGGAGCAGUACGGAAAAACACAAGCCGUGUGUGUCAUCUAAGCGGCGUGCUCUCCUGUGCGCUUCUUGCCGACGUCACACCUCCAUUCCUGAGCGAGGGCUCCAAAGCUCAGGGACAAGAGUGAAAAAAGAGCUGGAUAUUUGUGUUGGAUCACUAACUGAGAAAAAGUAAUUUCUCUACCCGUGUGGUUUUGGAUUGAGUACAUCUGGAAAGUACAUCUGGAAAGGUUUGUCAUGGCCUCAUGAAUCCCUGAAUUAGCAAAGGAAAACUUCACAGCCUACCCCGCUUUAACAAAAUGAAGCGGGUGAUUCAUUCUGCAAGUGAAGUUCUGCAGAGCGCUGUCUCAUUAAAAAUGACAGCGACAAACUGAUGAUAAUUAUUUUGGUUGCUCCUCCUCUUGCAGUGCUACUUAGUUAAAAGCAACAGCUUCAAAGUAACUUAUGAGCCCUUGAAUAUAUUUAGGUACAGUAAUACCUACAUUUGUCUUUGCGUGUUCUACAGCUGGACACUACACAUAGGGCCCAGCGUGGCUGCUGUUGCUUCCCAGGGCGUUGGUAAGUAACCAGAUGCAGUUCAUCUUCCUUUAUGCAAUGGCUGUUGCAGAGUCAAAAAGUCAAUAGCGCUGGAGCGUCCAACAGUUCAAGGAUGCGCCUGGCAGUCAGGUGAUACACUCUUGCACAUGGGGUUAUUUUUGUAAACACACGAGGUAAAAAUUGACCUAUUGUGCCGUACUACACGCACAGCGCCAUCAACCAGAUAGGAAGACAACCAAGCAGCAGGGAAUAAAAAGACUUUGAUGAUCCUAAUGAACGGAUAAAGUAAUAAAAAAAAUAACAUUUGCUUCACUCA